AUGAGCAAGUCUACAUUUCAAAAACAAUCGAAGAAAAUGUGUUGCAACCUUUUAGCUCACAACUGUACUUUGUUUCAAAUCCUCCCCACUUGACUGCGAAAAUCAACAGCGCAUGUGCGAUUGAACAAGGAUGGUGGGGAUCAUCUCGUUUCUUGUCUCUAUUAGCUUACGCAUUCGUGGCUGACUCUUCCCCUCUAUAGUGUCCUAGGGUGUAUUCCGAAAGUUCUAUUGAAAAUAUCCCUUUUAGUCAUAAGGUUGGUAGCGCUGUAACUAACUAUGUUGUGUUCCGUAAUGUAAGUUAAGUUUAUGAUUAUCGUUGGCUCACGGUGGUUUGCAGAGAUCAACAAAGAGGAAUCAAAAAGCAAAAAAUGGAUUUCCAAGAAUUCCGGAGAUAAAAAUCCUAAGUUUUGAUUAAUAUUAAUAUAUUAAUUGUAAGUAAAUUAAAUUAUGUCCGUUUUUGUGCACUAAUAAUGCAUAAUAAAGUUUAUUCUGUUUAAGUAGUUGGAGAAGUUGUAGUAGCUUAGCUUGCAUGCUUGUUUUAAUAUUUCAUGUUUUUAGAUAAGCACGGAGAGAUAAUUUAUUCGAUUUAAUUGUUUACAGAACAGCUUCAAUCACAAAAUGUUAAUGUAAAUACAAUCAAACAAUUAAUAUUAUUUGAUGGAGUAUUCAAUUAUACAUUAUAUGUUUCAAAUCAAAUAUAUGAACGUGCGAUUAAAGGUAUAAAAUAAAAUUUUUAUAUUUCUCUUAACAAAGAAUGUAAAAUAUUUUAACAGUAGAAAUCUUCUCAAUCUGUUAAAUGUUUGUAUUAAUAUCUAUUCAAGAAUAAUUCUUUCUGUAUUAGUUUUUCUGUAUUACCAUAUAAAUAAUAUAGGAUGUAUUUUGAAAAAGACUGCAAAUAAUCUAUAACUUCUAUAAAAUAAUGUUACAAAAGUUUUUUUUUUAUUUAUAAUUGUAGUAUAAAAGCCUUAUUGAAAAGCAUGGAAAAGCGUUGUUGCUAAGUUGUUACUGUGCAUAAAAAGUUUAGUUAUAAAAACUGUAAUAAUAUGUAAUAAUAAUGUAAUAAUAUAUUGCAAUUGAAUAAAAAA